UACGUAGGGUGCGAGCGUUGUCCGGAAUUACUGGGCGUAAAGAGCUCGUAGGUGGUUUGUCGCGUUGUCCGUGAAAACUCACAGCUUAACUGUGGGCGUGCGGGCGAUACGGGCAGACUGGAGUACUGCAGGGGAGACUGGAAUUCCUGGUGAUAGCGGGUGAAAUGACGCAGAUAUCAGGAGGAACACCGAUGGCGAAGGCAGGUCUCUGGGCAUUAACUGACGCUGAGGAGCGAAAGCAUGGGGAGCGAACAGG
rnacentral:rRNA from 1 species